rnacentral:rRNA from 1 species
UACGAAGGGAGCUAGCGUUGUUCGGAAUCACUGGGCGUAAAGCGCACGUAGGCGGAUGUGUCAGUCAGGGGUGAAAUCCCGGAGCUCAACUUCGGAACUGCCUUUGAUACAGCACGUCUUGAGUCCGGAAGAGGUGGGUGGAACUGCGGGUGUAGAGGUGAAAUUCGUAGAUAUUCGCAAGAACACCAGUGGCGAAGGCGGCUCACUGGCCCGGUACUGACGCUGAGGUGCGAAAGCGUGGGGAGCAAACAGG